rnacentral:rRNA from 1 species
AGAAGGUUUCAGUGUAAAGCAGAUUGAACGCUGGCGGGAUGCUUUACACACUGCAAGUCGAACGCUUGGCGCGGACUUCGAUGCUGGUGGCGAGUGGCCGAACGGGUGAGUAAUAGCGGAACGUGCCUGGUGGCGAGGAUAACUACGCAAGCGUAAUAAUACCAUACGCCUUCAGGAAAGCAGGACGCCGGGCUCACUGAAGCGGCCGAUAUCGGAUUAGCUAGUUGGUGGGGUAACGGCUCGCAAAGGCGACAGUCCGUAGCUGGUUUGAGAGGACGACCAGCCACACUGGGACUGAGACACAGCCCAGACUCUACAGGAGGCAGCGGUGAUUUUGGACAAUGGGGGAAACCUGAUCCAGCCAUCCCGCGUGUGCGAUGAAGGCCUUCGGGUUGUAAAGCACUUCCUGGCGGGAAAAACGGCACAGGAUAAUACCCCCGUGCAGCUGAAAUAUAGAGAUAAGCGCGGCUAACUACGUGCCCUUUGACCGCGGUAAUACGUAAGUUACCAUGAGAAUUACUGGAGCGUAAAACGUGCACCAGGUAGCGGUUCAGAAAGAAAGAUGUGAAAUCCGACUUAACCUGGAACUACAUUUUAACUACCGAGCUAGAGUGUGUCAGAGGGAGGUGGAAAUUCCGCGUGUAGCAGUGAAAUGCGUAGAUAUGCGGAGGAACACCGAUGGCAGAGGCGGCCUCCGCAGGAUAACACUGACGCUCAUGCACGAAAUCGUGGGGAGCAAACGGGAUUAGAUACCUGGUAGUCCACGCCUAAACUUGAUGUCAACUAGCUGUUGGGGCCUUCAGGCCUUGAGCUGUACAACUAACGCGUGAAGUUGACCGCCUGGGAGGUACGGUCGCAAGAUUAAAACUCAAAAUUGACGGACCCGCACAAGCGGUGGAUGAUGGAUUAAUUCGAUGCAACGCGAAGAAGCCUUGCCUACCCUUAGGCAUGUCUGGAAUCCCGAAGAGAUUUGGGAGUGCUCGCAAGAGAGCCGGAACACCCGGGUGCUGCAUGGCUGUCGUCAGCUCGUGUCGUGAGAUGUUGGGUUAAGUCCCGCAACAAGCCCUGGCCCUUGUCAUUAGUUGCUGCAGAGGGCACUCUAAUGAGACUGCCGGUGACAAACCGGAGGAAGGUGGGGAUGACGUCAGUCCUCGCGGCCCUUAUGGGUAGGGCUUCACACGUCAUACAAUGGUCGGGACAGAGGUCGCCAACCCGCGAGGGGAGCCAAUCCCAGAAACCCGAUCGUAGUCCGGAUCACCAGUCUGCAACUCGACUGCGCGUGAAGUCGGAAUCGCUGGUAAUCCCCGCAGAUCAACGUCAUCGCAGUGAAUACGUUCCGGGUCUUGUACGCACCGCCCGUCACUACAUGGGGUGGGUUUUACCAGAAGUAGUUAGCUUCUAACCAUAAGGAGGGCGAUUACCACGGUAGGAUUCAAGACUGGGGUGAAGUCGUAACAAGGUAA